rnacentral:lncRNA from 1 species
UGUUUAAUUUAAAAGAUGUGAUCUCUGGACAAGUGAAUUGGAUCCAAGACCUUAAGGUGGGCCGGGCUAUGUAGAGGCAAGCUAACGCCGGCGGCCGUUUGGUUGGAAUUUGUGCUAGCUGCCACUGCCAGCGUGUCAUUCUUACUGUUGUUGGAGGUGCCGUGUUCUUUAUGCUUUUGAUGUUUGUUGACUAAACUAACGAACUUUUAUUUAAGAUUGAGUUGAGUUAUGCGUUUUCUUUUUUCCGCAAGAUCUGAUAAGAUUGAACAAUGCCAAAAUGAUAACUAGAUAAAGGAUACUACCAUGCACAGUGCUCAAACUCUUAUC